rnacentral:misc_RNA from 1 species
GCUCUUAUUGAUAAAGGUAUUUUAUUAAACUAUUAUUAAUAAAACUUAUUUAUAUUCAAAUGACACGCAAUUUCUUAAUGGUUAAUAAAUAUUUUUAUUAUUAUUUUUAAAUUAAAUGCCAUGUGUCAAGUUAUUAUUAGUUAACAAAUAUUUAAUUCAAAAUUUUAUAAUUUAUUUUGUAAUUUUAUUUUAAUUUAAUUUUUAUCUUUAAGAUGUAAAAGCCACACAUCAAUUUUUUGCAACUUUCACCGAGUUUAACUUCAUUCCAAUGAGAAUGGAAAUCUCAUUCCCUAUGGAGGAGGGGGAAAUGGAUUAUUUGCCCCACUUGGGGAAUUGCAUUCCAAUUCCCACUCAUUUUAUAAAGAACCAAAUUCUAGGAAUCACAUUCACCCCUUCAAUUAAUCAAUUCCAGCCCUAUUUUUUUGCCAAACCAAACAGCCCCUAAGUUCAAUGACUUGUUUCUAGGAAUGGCAACAAGUCGAGUAUUUGCGAGUCUCCAAUUUGACCGAACCCUAAUAAGAAGGAUUUGGAUAGCAUAUAAUCAGAUUUGUGAUGAGUUUAAUUUGAGGAAUAACUGUGACAGGCUUGGGUUACAUGCUGAAUAUCCAUUAUCCAAAUUAGUUUAUAUAAAUAAUUAAUUAAAUA